GACGAACGCUGGCGGCGUGCUUAACACAUGCAAGUCGAACGGGGCUCAUCGCUUCGGUGGUGGGUCUAGUGGCGAACGGGUGAGUAACACGUGGGCAACCUGCCCCCGGCUCUGGGAUAACUCCAAGAAAUUGGGGCUAAUACCGGAUGUGACCGCUGGCCGCAUGGGCUGGUGGUGGAAAGGGUUUCCGGCUGGGGAUGGGCCCGCGGCCUAUCAGCUUGUUGGUGGGGUAGUGGCCUACCAAGGCGACGACGGGUAGCCGGCCUGAGAGGGUGACCGGCCACACUGGGACUGAGGCACGGCCCAGACUCCUACGGGAGGCAGCAGUGGGGAAUAUUGCGCAAUGGGCGGAAGCCUGACGCAGCGACGCCGCGUGGGGGAUGACGGCCUUCGGGUUGUAAACCUCUUUCAGCAGGGACGAAGCCGCGAGGUGACGGUACCUGCAGAAGAAGCACCGGCCAACUACGUGCCAGCAGCCGCCGCCG
rnacentral:rRNA from 1 species